rnacentral:rRNA from 1 species
GAUGAACGCUAGCGGGAGGCUUAAUACAUGCAAGUCGAACGGUAACAGGCGUAGCAAUACGUGCUGACGAGUGGCGCACGGGUGAGGAACACGUACGCAAUCUGCCUUUGACUGGAGGAUAGCCCUGGGAAACUAGGAUUAAUACUCCAUAAAAUUACGGAAGGGCAUCCUUUUGUAAUUAAACUUUCGGGGGUCAAAGAUGAGCGUGCGUUUGAUUAGGUAGUUGGCGGGGUAACGGCCCACCAAGCCUACGAUCAAUAGCUGGCGUGAGAGCGCGACCAGCCACACGGGAACUGAGACACGGUCCCGACUCCUACGGGAGGCAGCAGUAGGGAAUAUUGGACAAUGGCUGAAAAGCUGAUCCAGCCAUCCCGCGUGAAGGCAGAAGGUCCUAUGGAUUGUAAACUUCUUUUCUCUGGGAAGAAAGGGCGGGUUUCUACCUGCUCUGACGGUACCAGAGGAAUAAGCACCGGCUAACUCCGUGCCAGCAGCCGCGGUAAUACGGAGGGUGC